ACGAACGCUGGCGGCAUGCCUAACCCAUGCAAGUCGAACGAGACCUUCGGGUCUAGUGGCGCACGGGUGCGUAACGCGUGGGAACCUGCCCUUAGGUUCGGAAUAACUCCCCGAAAGGGGUGCUAAUACCGGAUAAUGUCUUCGGACCAAAGAUUAUCGCCUUUGGAUGGGCCCGCGUUGGAUUAGCUAGUUGGUAGGGUAAAAGCCUACCAAGGCGACGAUCCAUAGCUGGUCUGAGAGGAUGAUCAGCCACACUGGGACUGAGACACGGCCCAGACUCCUACGGGAGGCAGCAGUGGGGAAUAUUGGACAAUGGGCGAAAGCCUGAUCCAGCAAUGCCGCGUGAGUGAUGAAGGCCUUAGGGUUGUAAAGCUCUUUUACCCGGGAUGAUAAUGACAGUACCGGGAGAAUAAGCUCCGGCUAACUCCGUG
rnacentral:rRNA from 1 species